UUAAAGUCAUCCUCAGCUCGGACUGGGGUCGUGCAACCCGACCCCACGAAGCUGGAUUCGCUAGUAAUCGCGCAUCAGCCAUGGCGCGGUGAAUACGUUCCCGGGCCUUGUACACACCGCCCGUCAAGCCAUGGAAGCCGGGGGGUGCCUGAAGUGUGCAGCCGCAAGGAGCGCCCUAAGGUAAAACCGGUGACUGGGGCUAAGUCGUAACAAGGUAGC
rnacentral:rRNA from 1 species